rnacentral:rRNA from 1 species
AGUGAACGCUGGCGGCAGGCCUAACACAUGCAAGUCGAACGGCAGCACAGAGGAGCUUGCUCCUUGGGUGGCGAGUGGCGGACGGGUGAGGAAUACGUCGGAAUCUGCCUAUUUGUGGGGGAUAACGUAGGGAAACUUACGCUAAUACCGCAUACGACCUUAGGGUGAAAGCGGAGGACCUUCGGGCUUCGCGCAGAUAGAUGAGCCGACGUCGGAUUAGCUAGUUGGCGGGGAAAGGCCCACCAAGGCGACGAUCCGUAGCUGGUCUGAGAGGAUGAUCAGCCACACUGGAACUGAGACACGGUCCAGACUCCUACGGGAGGCAGCAGUGGGGAAUAUUGGACAAUGGGCGCAAGCCUGAUCCAGCCAUGCCGC